GCUACGGAAAUAUUGCCUAGGCCUAAUUAUGGACGUUUACGGAAAUGAACAGACACUACGGACAUUUCUGGGCCUAGGCCAGCUAGCCUAUAACUAGGCCUAGGCCUAUAUGUUUACCAUUGUUGAAAGCACCGACAGCUACAGUAGGCUAGGCCCUAGGACAAUGAUUUUUUCAUCAGGACUAUUUGGCUAGCCUACAUCGUCCCACAGACCCUAGACUAUAUACAUUAUUGUAAAAUUCGAGAAAAGUGCUCCGUCAGGUGCUACGGAAUAUUUUCAUUUACUACGGAAACUAGGACGACAUGGUAUGGCGGAAAUGCAUUUGACUUUUGAUUACCAGCCUAAUAAGUCACAACACAAGUGUGCAGAAUAACUACGGUCACUCAUUUCACUAUGAUGUAAAAAUUCUGAAGAAACCUGGACAUUGUACCUCUUCUGCAACAAGUCAAACUGCUCUGCUUGGCUGAAUGACUAUCUUGCUGCCACUACUGAAUGAUAAUGACAACUGGUGAUUUGGUAGUUGAAGCAUUCUAAUCUGGUUUAAUAUAUUUGAAAUAAAUAUUCAUUGUAUUUAUUUUUCUACAGUAUUUUGGAUAAAUAAAUAUUAAUUGUAUUCAGUUUUUGAAUAAAUAAAUAUUAAUUGUA